GACGAACGCUGGCGGCGUGCUUAACACAUGCAAGUCGAACGGAAAGGCCCUGCUUGCCGGGUGCUCGAGUGGCGAACGGGUGAGUAACACGUGGGUGAUCUGCCCCUUACUUUGGGAUAAGCCUGGGAAACUGGGUCUAAUACUGGAUAGGACCAUGCUGUAGGUGGUGUGGUGGAAAGAUUAGUUUCGGUAAGGGAUGAGCUCGCGGCCUAUCAGCUUGUUGGUGGGGUAAUGGCCUACCAAGGCGUCGACGGGUAGCCGGCCUGAGAGGGUGGACGGCCACAUUGGGACUGAGAGACGGCCCAGACUCCUACGGGAGGCAGCAGUGGGGAAUAUUGCACAAUGGGCGCAAGCCUGAUGCAGCGACGCCGCGGGGGGGAUGACGGCCUUCGGGUUGUAAACUCCUUUCAGCCAUGACGAAGCCCUUGUGGUGACGGUAGUGGUAGAAGAAGCACCGGCUAACUACGUG
rnacentral:rRNA from 1 species